GGAAGCCUGGCGCAAGCUGCGGGGGGCGGCUGCAGGUGGCCUCCAGGUGUGCUGUGGGAAGUGUGAUUCCUCAGUUUUGGGCUGUUCGGCCACGUGCCUGCCGGACAUGGGACGCUGGAGGGUUAGCAGCGUGGAGUCCUGGCCUUCAGCGUCUGCGGGUGGGAAAUCGGCCAUUGCCACGGAGGGAACUGGGACUCAGGCUGCCUCCAGGCCCUUCCUCAUCAGUCCACCGGACUCGUGGGUGCCCGCACUGGCUCUGAUGUAGUUUCCUGACCUCUGACCUGUAUUGUCUUGAGAUUAAAGGUACAACAUUUGGAGGCCCCAGUGAGAAACGCCACCAGGCAAGAGCCGGGCUCGCUCUGGGCUGCCCUGGAAGGACAGCCAGCUUGUAGGGGGGAGCGUCACCUGAAAAAAAAAUUUUCCGGUCCCCAAAGGGAACCGUCUUCCGGAGGAGAGCGGAUCAACUACCAUGUGGGUGCCCACAAAAAUUCCACCUCUGAGUCCUCAACUUCUGACCCCGGGGUCAGUAGGAAUCAGGAGCUUCUUUUGCUGUUCUUCUGUUUUGGAUGCAUUGGAAGAUGUAACAUCUCCUCAAAGCCUGAUGCCUACCUCCCACCUCCAUGAAAAUCUGGAGCUCAGGACCCACCACCCUCCCCCACCCACUGCAAGCUUGAGCAUUUGAUGGUGGAAAUCCCGCCCUGAGUUUGUAUUACGGUCCAGAUUUUGAACAAAUCUCUCUAGAGUUUGAACAGAGCUGCGCCUGGAUCCCGCUGCAGUGAGGAGACCUGAAGACCAGAGGAAACAUAGCAAAUGGAGUCUCUCUCUGUUGCCCAGGCUGGAGUGUAGUGUGGCGAUCUCGGCUCACUGCAAGCUCUGCCUCUCGGGUUCACGCCAUUCUCCCACCUCAGCACCCGGAGUAGCUGGAACUACAGGCUCCCACCACCAUGCCUGGCUAAUUUUGUUUUUGUAUUUUUAGUAGAAACAGGGUUUCACCAUGUUAGCCAGGAUGGUCUCCAUCUCCUGACCUUGUGAUCCACCCACCUCGGCCUCUCAAGGUGCUGGGAUUACAGGCCUGAGCCACUGCGCCCGGCUGUUUUUUCAUUUCUAUUAUGAUUUGUUCUGUGGAGUGUCAGUGACUUAGCAGUAUGUUUUUCACAUGUUUAUAAAGCUGAAUAGUUCUGUAUGUCAGCUCAGCACCCCUAGUAUCAGCCAUGCUACUCUCCUGCUGUGCAUAGAUGGGGGCCUGUCCAUACCCGAAUCUCCUGGGUUCCCGCUGUCAGCACCUGAAGGUACCCACCAGAUGUGUCUGUCGCUUCCCUCCAUCCACCUCUCUUGUGGUUCUCAUGUUUCUGCCUCCCUAGAGACCAUUUCUCUCUAGAACAGUAGUUUCCAAUAGAAAUAAAAUGCCAGUCACAUACGUCAUUUUAGAUUUUCUAGUAGUCACUUUAGAAAAGUGAAAAAGAAACAGGUGAAAUUUAUGUUUUAUUUCACCUAAAAUGUUAGCAUUAUCCAAAAUGUCACUUCAACAUCUUAUCAAAAUAAAAAUUAUUAAUGAGGCACUUUACAGUCUCUUUUCUUUUUUUGAGACAGGGUCUUGCUUUGUUGCCCAGACUGGAAUGCAGUGGCACCAGCAUAGCUCACUGCAGUCUCAGACUCCUGGGCUCAAGAGAUCCUCUUACCUCAGCCUCCCUAGUAGUUCGGACUACAGGCACACACCACCGUGCCAUGCUAAUUUUUUUUCUUUUUCUUUUUUAAAGACAGGGUCUCACUCUGUCAGCCAGGCUGGAGUGCAGUGGCACAAUUUCGGCUCACUGCAGCCUCGACCUCUGGGGCCGAAAUGAUCCUCCCACCUCAGCCUCCCAAGUAGCUGGAGCCACAAAUGUGUGCCACCACGCCUGAAUAAUUUUUGUAUUUUUUUGUUAAGAGAGGGUUUCGGCAUGUUGUCCGGGCUGGUCUUGAACCCCAGAGCUCAAGUGAUCCACCCACCUUGGCCUCCCAAAGUGCUGGGAUGACAGAUGUGAGCCAACACACUGGCCCAGUCUUUCUUUUGUACUGAGUAUUCAGAAUUUUUUUUAAAUGUGUUUUCCACUUACAGCAUUUCUCAGGUUGGACUAGCCAUCUUUCAAGUGCUCAGCAGCCACUUGUGGCAAGUGGCUGCCUUAUUGGACAGCACAGCUCUGGAGGGUGAUUUUAAGCACAUCCCACUGCUCUCUCUGCCUCCUUUAUUCCCAUCUACCCCACAGUAGUCUGUGACUAUCGUGUCCCUCUCUCCUCUCUUCCUAUCUCUUGUGAUCCUUUAAUAUGGAGAAUUAUUUCCAAUUCCUUAACAUCCUGCCCUGAUUUUUUUCUGUCUUACAUUCAAGGGUCACAGUUUUCCUCUCACCCUCUUUUCAGUCUUUUCCCAUAAGAUGUGACGUGACCUUUUGUCUUGGUUGGUAUUUAUUUGCAAUACAAGAAUGAUUGUUUUCUUUGAUACAUUAGUGACUUACAUACUUCUCAUGUUUUUUGAGUACCUCUUUCUUGACAGAAUUUCAAAUUAAUUCUAGAGUUAAACUAGAAUUAUUAUUAUUAUUAUUUUUUUUUUUUGAGACAGAGUCUUCCUCUGGCACCCAGACUGGAGUGCAGUGGUGCGAUCUCAGCUCACUACAACCUCUGCCUUCCAGAUUCAAGUGAUUCUCCUGUCUCAGCCUCCCGAGUAGCCAGGAUUACGGAUGUGCACCACCACGCCUGGCUAAUUUUUGUCUUUUUAGUAGAGACAGAGUUUUGCCAUUUUGGCUAGGCUGGUCUCGAAUUCCUGACCUCAAGUGAUCUGCCCACCUCAGCUUCCCAAAGUGCUGGGAUUACAGGGGUGAGCCACCGUGCCUGACCUAGAAAGCUUAUUUUAUUUUAUUAUUAUAAUUAAUUUUAUUUAUUUAUUUUUUUUGAGAUGGAGUCUCGCUCUGUUGCCCAGGCUGGAGUGCAGUGGCGCGAUCUCUGCUCACUGCAAGCUCCACCUCCCAGGUUCACGUCAUUCUCCUCCCUCAGCCUCCUGAGUAGCUGGGACUACAGGCGCCCGCCAUCACGCCUGGCUAAUUUUUUUUAUUUUUCAUAGAAACGGGGUUUCACCAUGUUAGCCAUGAUGGUCUCGAUUUCCUGACCUUGUGAUCCACCCGCCGUGGCCUCCCAAAGUGCUAGGAUUGCAGGCAUGAGCCACCGUGCCUGGCCUAUAAUUAAUUGUUUUGAGAUGGAGUCUCACUCUGUCUCCCAGGCUGGAGUAUAAUGGCACGUCUUGGAUCCCUGCAACUUCUGCCUCCCGGGUUCAAGUAGUUCUCCCUGCCUCAGCCUCUCGAGUAGCUGGGAUUACAGGUGCCCACCACCAUGCCCAGCUAAUUUUUGUUAUUUUUAGUAGAGACGGGGUUUCACCAUGUUGGCCAGGCUGGUCUCGAACUCCUGACCUCAGGUGAUCCGCCCACCUCGGCCUCCCAAAGUGUGAGAUUACAGGCAUCAGCCACCGCGCCUGGCCAGAAAGCUUAUUUUAAAAGGUGUGUAUAGAGCCCCUUAUGUUUCUGCUUGAUUUUUAAAAUAACAUAUUUAGGUCUAUAUAUUUUAGGAUGUAAUAUCUCACUGUAUGUGUUGCUUUGCAUCAUUGAACAUUUUUGGUAAUUAUUUUAUUUUCUAUAUAUUAUAGAUAUUCCAUUAAACUAAUACAGAAUUUCAUAUUCAGGGCCAGGGGUAGUGGCUGAUGCCUGUAAUCCCAGCACUUUGAGAGGCCAAGGUGGGCAGAUCACCCGAGGUCAGGGGUUUGAGACCAUCCUGGCCAACACGGGAAAACCCCGUCUCUAUUAAAAAUACAAAAUUAGCCGGGUGUGGUGGUGCACGCCUGUAAUCCCAGCUACUUGGGGGGCUGAGGCAGGAGAAUCGCUUGAACCCAGGGGCAGAGGUUGCAGUGAGAUGAGAUCUCGCCACUUCACUCCAGCCUGGGCCACAGAGCAAAAAUCCUUCUCAAAAAAAAAAAAAAAAAAAUUUAACAUUCGCUCAUAUCAAAAAUGAAAAUUUAUUUUUACAAAUUUCUAUGUGAGUGAUAGAAUUAUUUUAAUGUUGGAAAGGUUCAUAAGAAAUGGGUGUAGUGAUUGCGUUUUUUCCUAUGCUCAAAUGGAAAAUGAUGAGGGAACACGAUGUUAGAGUUGCAGGGAGAAGGGGUGGAAAAGAGGGAUUCCAGAGUGCCAGGCACACAGAUUUUCUGGAAGGUUUACAUGAGGACUGCUGUGGUUUGAAUGUGUUCCCCGAAGUUCAUGUGUUGGAAACUCAACCCCUAAUGCAACAGUGUUGACCAGUGGAACCUUUAAGAGGUGAUUAGGUCAUGAAGGCUCUGCCCUCAUGAAUGGAUGAAGGUAGAGUGGGUUAGAUAUCUUGGGGGUGGGUUCCUGAUAAAAAGAUGAGGUUGGCUUCCUUCCCUUUCUCUCUUCCCCCUCCCCCGCCCACAUGUGGUCACUCUUGCCGUUCCACCUUCCACCAUAGGACGGCACAGCAAGACCUUCACCAGAUGCAGGCCCCUCACUUUCCCAGUGUCCAAAACUGUAAACCAAGUAAACUCUUGCUUAUAAAUCACCCAGUCUGUGGUUUCUGUUAUAGCAACACAAACGGACUAAGACAGGGACACUCAGUGGGCUCUUCUCUCUACUUGAUGGAGCACUCCCUGGGUGGCGCCUUGUAUUUGUAGACAUGAUGCUGUAAAUGCUGUUUGAGUGUCUUGAAGACUUCUAUGUUUGAGGAGUUUACAGAGAAGCCCCUACAGGCUUCAGGUCCCUUCUUCUGUUGCUUCUUUGCUCUUUAGUACCUCCCCUAACCUGGUGCUAAAUUAGAUCAGAGUGUGGUCCUUGGACCAACAGUAUCAGUAGCACCUGAAAAUCAUGCUGGAAAUACAGAUUCACAGGCUGCACCCCAGAAUACAGAAGAAGAAACUCUAGGAGUGAGACCCAACAAUCUGUAUUUAACAAGCCCCCCAGGCCCCUGGAUCCUCCUGGAAUCCCCGAUCCCUGUUGCUCCCUCGGGGAGUUUUCUAGUCCCUCUUACUUGAAGCAUGUCUUCAGAGCCCCGCACCACCCAGCUUGAGUAUCUGAUGGAUUUUCACAUCUCAUGCCAGCUGACUGUGGGAAAUAGGACUCCUUAAAGCACAGAUAUCACAAGUGAUUCAGAUUCACGAGGGUAACCCAGGUGAGGGUGUAUCGUUGUACCUGGCCCACAGCACUCAGUAACUGUCACCUUUGAUUUAUUUGAGACAGAGUUUUGCUCUGUCCCCAAGGCUAGAGUGCAAUGGCAUGAUCUCUGCUCACUACAACCUCCGCCUCCCAGGUUCGAUUGAUUCUCCUGCCUCAGCCUCUUGAGUAGCUGGGAUUACAGGCACCUGCCACCACGCCCGGCUAAUUUUUGUAUUUUUAGCAGAGACGAGCUUUCACCAUGUUGGUCAGGCUGGUCUUGAACCUCAAGUGAUCUGCCUGCCUUGGACUCCCAAAGUUCUAGGAUUACAGGCGUGAGCUACUGCACCCAGCCUGUCACCUUGAUUUAAAUGAAUGCAGCUUUCUUAGUGUCUUGAUGUUUGUGAAUUUCUGUGGAGUUUGAUACUGCUCCUUUUGCUGCUUGUUCUGUUUUUCCAGAGUCCCCUUAUCACUUGACCCGCUGUCACAUUAUGUUUGAUUUAUUGCAGAUACCCCAUCUGCCUGGGUCUCUCUUUACAGCCUUUGUACAUGUAGGGAUUUGGAUUUUCUCCGGGAUCCCACAUCCUCACUGUCCCCUGUCCCCCCCAACACCCCCCACCAAUACCUUUCUGAAGUUUUCUAGUCUCUCCUUUUCAUUUGUGCUCCUUAAAGCCCAGCCCCAUGCCUGACUUUGGUUCCCACUGAGUUCUGUUACAAGCAUUCUACAUUUGUGGAUAUUAGAUCUUUGGCAAGGUCGUUUACCUGGGCUGGAAUAGGGCUCUCAGCUGAUCCUCCUUCCUAAACACCCUCCCAAUGGAAGAGGCUGAUACUCAACAUGCAAACCUUGUUUUUUACUUCUCCAAGCAAAGCGUUGUGGGAAGACAUUCUGGAAGGGGUGGGCUGUGAAGAUUUAAAAAUAAUCCUUGAAUAUCUGCUUUAUGAUAGGUCUUGGAGGUGCCUUGUGGGUGUGGCUUUGGAGGGAUGGUUACGAGGAAAUUGUGGAUGUUAAGGAAGUCAGGAAAGGAAAAGAUCAGUCACAAUUCAGCAAUUCAGAGAAAGCUCCUAAGGGACUUUCUGGC